rnacentral:rRNA from 2 species
ACGGGUGAGUAACGCGUGAGAAUUUGGCUUCAGGUCGGGGACAACAGUUGGAAACGACUGCUAAUACCGGAUGUGCCGAAAGGUGAAAGAUUUAUUGCCUGAAGAUAAGCUCGCGUCUGAUUAGCUAGUUGGUGGGGUAAGAGCCUACCAAGGCGACGAUCAGUAGCUGGUCUGAGAGGAUGAUCAGCCACACUGGGACUGAGACACGGCCCAGACUCCUACGGGAGGCAGCAGUGGGGAAUUUUCCGCAAUGGGCGAAAGCCUGACGGAGCAAUACCGCGUGAGGGAGGAAGGCUCUUGGGUCGUAAACCUCUUUUCUCAAGGAAGAAAAAAAUGACGGUACUUGAGGAAUAAGCAUCGGCUAACUCCGUGCCAGCAGCCGCGGUAAUACGGAGGAUGCAAGCGUUAUCCGGAAUGAUUGGGCGUAAAGGGUCCGCAGGUGGAACUGAAAGUCUGCUGUUAAAGAGUCUGGCUCAACCAGAUAAAAGCAGUGGAAACUACAGAACUAGAGUGCGUUCGGGGCAGAAGGAAUUCCUGGUGU